rnacentral:lncRNA from 1 species
GGAGUCUUGCUCAGUCACCCAGGCUAGAGUGCAGUGCACAAUCUCAGCUCACUGCAACCUCCACCUCCCGGGUUCACGCCAUUCUCCCGCCUCAGCCUCCCGAGUAGCUGGGACUACAGAUGUCCUCCACGAUGCCCGACUAAUUUUUUUUUUUUUUUUGUAUUUUUAAUAGAGACGGGGUUUCACCAUGUUAGCCAGGAUGGUCUCGAUCUCCUGACUUCGAGAUCCACCCACCUCGGCCUCCCAAAGUGCUGGGAUUACAGGCAUGAGCCACCACACCCGGCGACUCAUUCUUAUACAACUACCUUUGUCAGCAUUCUUGCCAUUGGACUGUCUAGCCCUUGAUGCUGUUAUAUCAUGGCUUGUUGAUACAGAAGAUGCUACAUGAACUCAAGUGGAACUCUGACUGCCUUGAGAGCAUCCCACCAUCCAUUGCUGCUGCAUCAAGGUAUUAAAAAGAGAGACAGAAGGAAGAGGAACUGAAACAACUGUUGAAGGCCCAAUCCCACGAACCAGGCCCACCUCUAUUCAACCCAGGGGACCUAGUACUGGUAAAGGUACUUCCUUACCUUUCUCUCUCAAUAUGCCCUGGUUGGGAGGGACCUUGCACUGUACUUCUUUUCACUCCUGUGGUGGUGAAGGUCAAGGUCACCAGAAUAGACUCUUGGAUUCAUUAUACUCAAGUAAAGGCCUGGGAAGCCAACAGAGUCACCUCUUUCAACCUAGAGGAGCAUCCAAAAUACCAUUGUGAAGAGAUCAGGGUACUCAAACUAAAAAUCACAAAAGGCUCCAGAAGCAGACCAGCAGACUAGCAGACAAGCAGAUGGACAGUGGAACGACGUGGCAGAGAGAGAGAGAAGAGGAGGAACAUCUGAACACUGAGGGGAGUUUGCCCAGGGGCGAUCGGAGAAGAUACCAGCUACUGGAUGGCCCGCCUCCAAGGGAAGAUCACCUUCCCACUCCAUUUCCCUUUCCAGUCCCCAAUCCAUCUCACUGAGAGCCACCUCCACCACUCAAUAAAAUCUUG